GGACGAACGCUGGCGGCGUGCUUAACCCAUGCAAGUCGAACGGUAAGGCUCCAGCUUGCUGGGGUACACGAGUGGCGAACGGGUGAGUAACACGUGGGUGACCUGCCCUGCACUUCGGGAUAAGCCUGGGAAACUGGGUCUAAUACCGGAUAGGACCAUGGUGUGGAUACUGUGGUGGAAAGUUUUUUCGGUGUGGGAUGGGCCCGCGGCCUAUCAGCUUGUUGGUGGGGUAAUGGCCUACCAAGGCGGCGACGGGUAGCCGGCCUGAGAGGGUGGACGGCCACAUUGGGACUGAGACACGGCCCAGACUCCUACGGGAGGCAGCAGUGGGGAAUAUUGCACAAUGGGCGGAAGCCUGAUGCAGCGACGCCGCGUGGGGGAUGACGGCCUUCGGGUUGUAAACUCCUUUCACCAUCGACGAAGGGUUUCUGACGGUAGAUGGAGAAGAAGCACCGGCUAACUACGUG
rnacentral:rRNA from 1 species